UACGAAGGGGGCUAGCGUUGUUCGGAAUUACUGGGCGUAAAGCGCACGUAGGCGGACUGGUCAGUUAGGGGUGAAAUCCCGGGGCUCAACCCCGGAACUGCCUUUAAUACUGCCAGUCUUGAGUUCGAGAGAGGUGAGUGGAAUUCCGAGUGUAGAGGUGAAAUUCGUAGAUAUUCGGAGGAACACCAGUGGCGAAGGCGGCUCACUGGUCCAUUACUGACGCUGAGGUGCGAAAGCGUGGGGAGCAAACAGG
rnacentral:rRNA from 1 species